GUCUGUGUAGCUCAGUGGUAGAGCAUUGUACUUAUGAGAAUAACUAAUUAUUUAUGGCAUGCAAGAGCCCUGAGUUCAAUCCUCAGUGUGGGCA